AGAGUUUGAUCCUGGCUCAGAAUCAACGCUGGCGGCGCGCUUAACACAUGCAAGUCGCACGAGAAAGUGGAGCAAUCCAUGAGUACAGUGGCGUACGGGUGAGUAACACGUGGAUCAUCUACCUCUUGAUGGGGAAUAACCCUGGGAAACCGGGGCUAAUACCGCAUAAGCCUGAAAAGGGAAAGCAGCAAUGCGUCGAGAGAGGAGUCCGCGGCCGAUUAGCUAGUUGGUAGGGUAAAGGCCUACCAAGGCAAUGAUCGGUAGCCGGCCUGAGAGGGCACACGGCCACACUGGCACUGAAACACGGGCCAGACUCCUACGGGAGGCAGCAGUGGGGAAUCUUGCACAAUGGAGGAAACUCUGAUGCAGCGACGCCGCGUGAGUGAUGAAGCCCUUCGGGGUGGGGA
rnacentral:rRNA from 1 species